rnacentral:rRNA from 1 species
AAUAGCGUAUAUUAAAGUUGUUGCAGUUAAAAAGCUCGUAGUUGGAUUUCUGGUUGAAGCGACCGGUCGGGCGUUGAUUCGUCUGCACUGGAGUCGGUUUUGGCCAUCCUCUAGGAAAGUGCGUCUGGUAUUAAGUUAUCGGGCGUAUGAUCCAGGUCUUUUACUGUGAAAAAAUUAGAGUGUUUAAAGCAGGCCUUCGCCUUGAAUACAUUAGCAUGGAAUAAUAAGAUAGGACUUUGGUCUAUUUUGUUGGUUUGCAGACCGAAGUAAUGAUUAAUAGGGAUAGUUGGGGGUAUUUAUAUUCCAAUGUCAGAGGUGAAAUUCUUAGAUUUUUGGAAGAUAAACUUAUGCGAAAGCAUUUACCAAGGAUGUUUUCAUUAA